CGCCGAGAAUCGUCCACGCUUGGCUACUCGGUGGGAGGGCGUGGCUGAGAGGGCGGUCCUGGCUAAGAGACCCUGGCUGGGAGCUGACCACUGCGUGAGAAAGUCUCCAGGCCUGGGCUAGUGGCCACCUUCCCUCCAUCUCAGGUCAGUGCACCAAAGUGCCACUCAACUCCUUGCCCGGGACCAAUCUCCGGGUUGCAUCUGCCAAUCUGGCCGAGGAAACCCAGACAGCCCAAGGAAAUGACCUAAAGAUACUAACAUGAGGGCAGAGGAGGCUACUACCAGUCAAGAAAGCUCAGCGCAGAGGAAUCAGUUAUGGCUUACAGCGCUGGACAAAUCGAGGGUACAAGCAUACAUCUCGGAUGUGAUAUCUAUUCAGAAUCCAAGUCAGGAAUCGUUCUAAGCCCAAGCCGUAUCCUCCAUGAGGACAUGUACCAUAUUUCCUCUGUUAAAUAAAAAAGAAAUCAAGAGCAAGAGA